rnacentral:rRNA from 1 species
UACGUAGGGGGCGAGCGUUGUCCGGAUUUAUUGGGCGUAAAGAGCUCGUAGGCGGUUUGGUAAGUCGGGUGUGAAAUCUCCACACUCAACGUGGAGGGGCCACUCGAUACUGCCAUGACUCGAGUCCGGUAGAGGAGUGUGGAAUUCCCGGUGUAGCGGUGAAAUGCGCAGAUAUCGGGAGGAACACCCGUAGCGAAGGCGGCUCUCUGGGACGGUACUGACGCUGAGACGCGAAAGCGUGGGGAGCGAACAGG